rnacentral:lncRNA from 1 species
ACUUUUCAUUUUCAUUUGGGAAACAAAAAAACCACCACAUGUAUCUACUAGCUUCAGAUAUGAUUCCUGCCUCCAGGAUGCUUGGAAGUCUUAACAUGGCCCUGCAUACAAAAUAAUAUCCUCUGGCCACACAAAGCAAGUUAAGAAGAAAUGGAAGAAAAGAAGCUCUACACUCAGUUUUGAAUCUGAAGCCCAACCUCUGCCCAAAAAUCCCUUCAAGACAAGAUCAAGUGAGAGACGUGACACAUAAAGAUGGGAAAAAGAUGGCACUUCCCCAGAAACUGCAAGCUGGACUUUCCUGAGAACUGUUUUUAGAAGGAAACUCUAGCCUCUGCAAGCAAUUUGGGAUUUGUAGAGGGCAGAUUUGAGAGCAGGAUGUUGGAUUUGUGUGCCCAGCUCCAAGAUUCACUGUGAUUUUGGGUAAGCAACUACAUCUCUCUAGGCCUGGUUCUCCUCAAUGACAUGGUAGAAUAAUUCUGUGUCAGCAAAGCAUUGCAAAACUAAGUGAUAACAAAAGUAUAGAGCAGAAAUGCUAGCUACAGAGACAAGAUUCAUGGGCAUGCCUUUGCUUGAGUUGACUCCAUGGCAAAGCCCCUUAAUAAGAAAUUCCUAGGGAGUUUGCCUGUUUCCCUGAAAAAUCUAAAAUGCAGGAAGAUUUUGUUUUAACAUUGGUUUGGCAGACUAGGCAAACACUUGAUCUAUACACUUUCUAAUAUGAGCACUAGAUUUAUUUUCACAAGCAUUUUAUACAUAAGUAUAGCAAAGUUGUUUGUGGAAGAAACAAUUUAAAAUACAAUCUAAAUGACUGAAAAUUGGAGAUUGAGGAUGGAGAGUUCUAUUCUGGCUGUGGAGAGAAAUAAAGAGCCAAUAGGGGAUAUUGUAUCAGCUUUCUGAGGAGCUGGAUUAAAAAUGACUCAGAGGUUUAUCCCGUCCUCCCUGAACUAAGGUAGGCAAGAAUCCAACUAAACCAAUCAAAGAGUGACAGGGAAGAAGAGG